rnacentral:rRNA from 1 species
ACUAUAGUUAGAUAUUGAAUCUAGGAUUUAGAUGUGUAGAAUAGGUGGGAGA